GAUGAACGCUGGCGGCGUGCCUAAUACAUGCAAGUCGAGCGAACAGACGAGGAGCUUGCUCCUCUGACGUUAGCGGCGGACGGGUGAGUAACACGUGGAUAACCUACCUAUAAGACUGGGAUAACUUCGGGAAACCGGAGCUAAUACCGGAUAAUAUAUUGAACCGCAUGGUUCAAUAGUGAAAGACGGUUUUGCUGUCACUUAUAGAUGGAUCCGCGCAGCAUUAGCUAGUUGGUAAGGUAACGGCUUACCAAGGCGACGAUGCGUAGCCGACCUGAGAGGGUGAUCGGCCACACUGGAACUGAGACACGGUCCAGACUCCUACGGGAGGCAGCAGUAGGGAAUCUUCCGCAAAGGGCGAAAGCCUGACGGAGCAACGCCGCGUGAGUGAUGAAGGUCUUCGGAUCGUAAAACUCUGUUAUUAGGGAAGAACAAAUGUGUAAGUAACUAUGCACGUCUUGACGGUACCUAAUCAGAAAGCCACGGCUAACUACGUG
rnacentral:rRNA from 1 species